AGCUCAGUUGGGAGAGCAUCUGCCUUACAAGCAGAGGGUCAGCGGUUCGAGCCCGUUA
rnacentral:tRNA from 1 species